UUUUAUUUUUUUUUAUUCCUUUUACUUUAUUUAUUCAUUUAUGUAUAUACUUAUUUAUUUUAUUUUAUAUAUUUUUUUUAUAUAUUCAGUACCACAAAAACAAUUUAAAAAGCUUAAGGUUCAUUUUUUGUAAACAAGAAUUAGAUGCUUUCGAAAAAGAAAAAUUACAAGAAUUAAAAAAUUAUGUAAAUAAAUUAAAACAAACAGAAUGGGAAAAACAGAAAGAAAAAAAAGUGAAUUACAAACAUAUGAAACUAUUUUUAAAAACACGUUAUUUAAUGAUGACAAUUAUGUACUAAGGUUUCUACAAGGAAAUGAAUUUAACCAUGAAAAGUGUUUCACGGAUAUGCUAAGACAUUUGGAAUGGAGACAAGCAAAUAUUCCUGUAUUAUAUAAUGAUGUUAAAGAUAUGUUGAACAAUGGAUAUGUUUACGUUCAUGGAAGAGAUAAACAAAUGCACCCAAUAAUAAUUAUCAACUGUAAACGUUUUAUAACUGUAAAUACGAAUGAAGUCUUAAAGGUUACAUAUUACUGGCUAGGUAAAUUUAUAUAACUAUUUUAUCUUUUUUUUUGUACAUAACCUAACUUCUUUAUCGCUCACUAUAUAUAUACUCUUAUUUAUGUUUACGGUUAUAUUGAUAUGUACACGUUUCAUCACACUGUGAUCGUAUUUUUAGUUUAUUUUUUGUAUAUAUCUUUUAAUUUGUAUCAAUUUAUCAUUUUAUUACCUAUUUGUUUUUAUGAUUGUCAUUUUAUGAUACCACUUUUUUUUCUUUUGUCACAUUAUUACUUGUCUAUCAUUAUUUUUUGUUUAUUUUUUUGCAGAAUUUAUAAUUGCACAUUUAUUUAUCGAAGGAAAAAUUGAACAGUGGAGGGUUAUAAUUGACUUAAGUUCCUGUGGGCUUUUAAAUAUACCUAUAGGGACAUUAAAAGAUAUAUACAAAAAAUAAACUAAAAAUACGAUCACA
rnacentral:lncRNA from 1 species